AUGAACGCUGGCGGCGUGCUUAACACAUGCCAGUCGAACGAGAAAUGGAGACGGAAACCUUCGGGCGGAAGGCUUCAUUUCGAGUGGCGGACGGGUGAGUAACGCGUGGGUAACCUGCCUCAUACAGGGGGAUAACAGUUGGAAACGACUGUUAAUACCGCAUAAGACCACAGCACCGCAUGGUGCGGGGGUAAAAACUCCGGUGGUAUGAGAUGGACCCGCGUUCGAUUAGCCAGUUGGCGGGGUAACGGCCCACCAAAGCGACGAUCGAUAGCCGAUCUGAGAGGAUGACCGGCCACAUUGGGACUGAGACACGGCCCAAACUCCUACGGGAGGCAGCAGUGGGGAAUAUUGCACAAUGGGGGAAACCCUGAUGCAGCGACGCCGCGUGAGUGAAGAAGUACUUCGGUAUGUAAAGCUCUAUCAGCAGGGAAGAAAAUGACGGUACCUGAGUAAGAAGCCCCGGCUAACUACGUG
rnacentral:rRNA from 1 species